CAAGGGGGAAAGCGAGAUGACUAAAACUCUUGAAUCUAUCUACUGAGUCCGAUCUUUUUCUUUCAAUAUCUGUAACUUAGGAGGUGAGAAAGCAAAACUAAGAGUAAAGAGAAAAAUCAGAGGAAUAUAGUUCGCGAAAAAGAUGGUGAAGUUCGCGAACUCUUGAAUUUGUUAAUCUCAGUAAGAAAUUAAGAUCAAACAAAUAGGGGAUGAGGUUUAUUGGUGUUGUUGACUGAAUGUUUAAGUGGCAGGUAACUUUGAUACAAGUGGUGUCGAUUUGGGCGAAGGAGAAAUUCGAGUUUGGGUCGAGUAAAGGGUCUCGGUUGUGUAUAGGGAGGUGACUGCGGUUUCUUUUUGUGGCAGUCCUGUGUAUGUAGUUUUUGAAGGUGAUGUGUUUAACUUAGACUAACUUUUGUAAAUGGUGUUUAUAUACUUAUCUAUCACAAACACACUGUAUCCAUAUGUUCAGUAAAAGUAUGUAUGUAAAUUAUCCCUUUUAAAAUCUUAGGUUGAACAUGUUUUAAAAUGCCUGCAUCUUUUGAAACUUUAUAAGUUGUUCUUCAUUUGUAAGGAUUAAAUUAGUGCGUUU